ACGAACGCUGGCGGCGUGCUUAACACAUGCAAGUCGAACGGAAAGGCCCUGCUUUUGUGGGGUGCUCGAGUGGCGAACGGGUGAGUAACACGUGAGUAACCUGCCCUUGACUUUGGGAUAACUUCAGGAAACUGGGGCUAAUACCGGAUAGGAGCUCCUGCUGCAUGGUGGGGGUUGGAAAGUUUCGGCGGUUGGGGAUGGACUCGCGGCUUAUCAGCUUGUUGGUGGGGUAGUGGCUUACCAAGGCUUUGACGGGUAGCCGGCCUGAGAGGGUGACCGGCAACAUGGGACUGGGGAUAGGCCCAGGACCCUAACGGGAGGAAGCGUGGGGAAUUAUGCCCAAAGGGGCGGAGCCCGGAGGCGCCACGCCGGGGUCCGGAAGACGGGCUUUCGGUUGUAAACCCCCUUCCCCUUUGGCGGAGGCUGAGUGACGGUAAUGGGUAAAGAAGCACCGGCUAACUACGUG
rnacentral:rRNA from 1 species